rnacentral:tRNA from 1 species
GCCGGGUUGUGGCUCAGUGGAAGAGCGCUCGCUUAGCAUGUGUGAGGCACUGGGUUCGAUUCUCAGCACUGCA